UACGGGGGGUGCUAGCGUUAUUCGGAAUCAUUGGGCGUAAAGGGCGCGUAGGCGGUCGCUUAAGUCAGAUGUGAAAGCCCUCGGCUUAACCGAGGAAGUGCAUUUGAUACUAAGUGACUUGAGUAUGGGAGAGGGAAGCGGAAUUCCUGGUGUAGCGGUGAAAUGCGUAGAGAUCAGGAGGAACACCGGUGGCGAAGGCGGCUUCCUGGACCAAUACUGACGCUGAGGCGCGAAGGAGUGGGGAGCAAACAGG
rnacentral:rRNA from 1 species